AAGUUUAAAUCCCCACCUGAUCUGCUGCUCAAAGUCACCUCCAUUUCACCGGUCAGUUUCCCAAGCUUCCGGAAACUCAUAUUAGUCCGGGAAUAUUUGGAUUGGCUGUGAGAAACGUCAAUCAGAGAGCCCACCCACUCUCCCCAUUCACACCUCUUCCUCUUCCAGAGCUGGUUCACUUCCUAUAGGGACUGAAAACCAAGUGAGGAGAUGAAGGUUUGCACCGUACUACACCAGAGGAUACAGAGGGGAAAGACACUGCAGAUAGAUCCUGACCAUACCCCAAGAAAUAACUGCACAAUUGUGGGAAGACAUCCAGUCCCUUUACAGCAUUGCUUAACACAGAGAAGAUUGCACAGUGAAACCAUCAUCUGGAACUCAGUUGGGUCAGAAGAGCUUUGACACAGCAUCAGAUCUGAAACUGGUCAGUGGCAUGGAGCCUUCCAAUAGAAACAGCCUUUCUGAAGGUUCGGCUGUGAGGGACUGGUCAAAGUGAGGCUGGGAAGAAGUGUGAGAGGCUCCAACUAUAAUGACAGCUUCAAUCAUUCAUGGAGACUUAUGAACCACUAACUCAUUCCCACAAGGGAGAGGCUGUUCUAAUGUAAGACAGGAAGAAGGCUCUAUAGGUGCAUCUAUUAUACAACUGCUAACACUAGGACAGCCACAUGGAAGAGAAAGUUCUAAGGUUUGAGAUGUCUGAGAGGUUUUGCAGAGCCAUUAACCCUCAUGAAUCUUCGAUGCAUUCACAAAGCGGAGAAGCCGUAAAAAUGUGAGGUUUGAAACAAGGGCACUAUGCAGUUAUCAGUUUUUGUGAACCACCCAGAGAAAAAGCCAUAUCAGGUGGCAGAUAUGCAACAGUUCAUUCUUGCAGUUGCCAAACUUUCACAAACACGAUUGAAUUUGCAUGGGGGAGAAACUCUUUAAGGGCGAAUUGUGUAACACAUCAUUCCUCACUUCAUCAAGGCUCAGAGAUGGGUCAGAAGCCAUUCACGUGAAAAAAUGUAAUAAAGCAAUUUCAGUGCCA